rnacentral:misc_RNA from 1 species
GGCUUAGUUGAGUUGAGUAUAAUAGUGGAUCUUACUUAAAAAAAGAAAAAUAAAUAAAUGAAUAACUUAAAUUGGUGUUGAUUUUCUCUCAUUAUUUUCCUAUUUUCAAUGUUCAUUCAGCUUCUUUUAUUAAUAUUUCUUAAGCAUCAGCAGCAACUAAUUUUUAUUUAUUUGGCACUCUCAUUGUGAGGCGUAUGAAAUCAAAUGGAAAACAUAUUUCUUUGCACAACACGUAUAGAUACUACAAUUGUGGACAACGGAUGCUAUUGCCACCAUUGUAUCAAUAAAUUCCUC